AUUGAACGCUGGCGGCAGGCCUAACACAUGCAAGUCGAACGAGUGGCGGACGGGUGAGUAAUGUCUGGGAAACUGCCCGAUGGAGGGGGAUAACUACUGGAAACGGUAGCUAAUACCGCAUACCAUCGGAUGUGCCCAGAUGGGAUUAGCUUGUAGGUGAGGUAACGGCUCACCUAGGCGACGAUGCCUAGCUGGUCUGCGAGGAUGACCAGCAACACGGGAACUGAUACACGUGGCAGACUCCGACGUGAGGCAGGAGUGGGGAAUAUUGCACAAUGGGCGCAAGCCUGAUGCAGCCAUGCCGCGGGUAUGAAGAAGGCCUUCGGUUUGUAAAGUACUUUCAGCGGGGAGGCUUUACCCGCAGAUGAAGCACCGGCUAACUCCGUGCCAGCAGCCGCGGUAAUAC
rnacentral:rRNA from 1 species